rnacentral:rRNA from 1 species
AUUGAACGCUGGCGGAAUGCUUUACACAUGCAAGUCGAACGGCAGCACGGACUUCGGUCUGGUGGCGAGUGGCGAACGGGUGAGUAAUGUAUCGGAACGUGCCCAGUCGUGGGGGAUAACGUAGUGAAAAUUACGCUAAUACCGCAUACGAUCUAUGGAUGAAAGCGGGGGAUCGCAAGACCUCGCGCGAUUGGAGCGGCCGAUAUCAGAUUAGGUAGUUGGUGGGGUAAAGGCCCACCAAGCCAACGAUCUGUAGCUGGUCUGAGAGGACGACCAGCCAAACGGGAACUGCGACACGGUCCAGACUCCUGCGGGAGGCAGCAGUGGGGAAUUUUGGACAAUGGGCGAAAGCCUGAUCCAGCCAUUCCGCGUGCAGGAUGAAGGCCCUCGGGUUGUAAACUGCUUUUGUACAGAACGAAAAGGUUUCUACUAAUACUAGGAGCUCAUGACGGUACUGUAAGAAUAAGCACCGGCUAACUACGUGCCAGCCGCCGCAGUAA